ensembl:antisense 1700080N15Rik RIKEN cDNA 1700080N15 gene
GAACAUUUGAAUCUAUGGGCAGGUACAGCAGGGGAAACAGUGACCAGGUUCUGCAGAGAGCAGGAUAGAGUGCUGAUGACAGUGGGGAAGAGGCAGUUAGUGCCUCCCAUAGAAAAUGGCUUGGCAAGAGUGCAGGUGGCAGGCGAAGCAGAACCAUUUGUGUCGAAGGCAGCAUGAAGAGCAGUGGGCCAGCUAUCCAGGUCUGGGCAAAAUAGCAAGAAUGCAGGCAUAUGAGUUGAAGAAGGAAGAGGAAGAAGAUGAAUAUGCAUGGGCUAUCUCUGCUCUUCUCUCGGAAUCCUCUCACACUAAAGGAAGAGAUAAAUAAGGAGGGACAGUGACAAGUGUUCGGGCAGUGAUACGUGUUAGCAUCAUCAUUGAGUCUAGUGCCUGUGGACUUGUAACUCCACUGAAAAACAAAGUCAUAUUGAGUUUAUGGGUCUUAAUUCACCCAGCUUGAUAAUGGUAAAAGCUUUGGGGAUUGGAUUGAAUCUUUCCUUGUGACUUUAAGGAACACUCAAAAGAGAUUUCCCUCUAUCUUUCUCAUGCAUGCAAGAUUUGGGAUGCUCUAUCCAACUACAGGUUAAGAAAUGCAGCAUCUUGACACCUCCAUACCCAAAGCCAAGAUUGCUGUUUCUUUCAGACAGGCCCCCAAAAAGCAUUGGACAAAAUUUGACUAAAUGCUUUAUAGACCUUCCCCUUUGACUAAGAAAAAAAAAAACAUUGGUGAUUGCUUCUAUUCCAUAGAUGGAAAACCAAGAAAGAGACUUAUACUUUAUUCCUCAUGGUAUAGCAUUAUAUCCUUAGUGGGUGAGGCCCUUGUUUACCCUGAGGUGGUAGGCUAUUCAUGGCUAACCAGUGUAUCACUGGUACAACUAAGAUGAUUAGAUAUUACAAGUGGAAGCCUGAAGGGAUCUUCCCUGAACUGAUAUUCAACCCAUAAAUCACACCACUGCUCAUAUAGAGCAACUGCUCAUGAUAACAAGAUAACACCCAGAUCCUACUAGUUAAGAUGCCUGGCACUCAUGAUCUGGGGAAGAAUAUGAAGAGGAUGCUCCUACUGCAGAUGACUGAAACACAUACAGACUGUCUGUAAGUCAAUGAAACAGUGUGCUGCUUCUCCUCUGAUAGGCUGCUUCUUAAUUAAUCUACCCAUCAAUCAAGAGUAAUGUACCAAGUGAUGUUCCUCACUUCGGAACUCUGCUGUGGAGGCUCCAAAUACUUGUAUUGUGUGGAUUUAUGUCUGGAGAUCUCAUUAUAUCAAACAAAACUCUAACUCCAGAAACCAGAAAUGUGUAUAAAGGGAGGCCUUGAAAACC